rnacentral:lncRNA from 1 species
CCAAUAAUUCAGAUCACCGGUGCAAUCUUCCCGAACCUUAAUUGACAAAUUUAAUCAUGAUUUAUGAACAAGAAAAUCCGCUAACAUUUUGUUUUAAUUUAAGAUUAAAGAUAGGUUUAAAGGUUUGAUCUUUUAAAUGAAAUUAAUAGAUACUUGGGUGUUUUUCAGGAAACUGAAGGCUUUCACAAGUGUUGAACCAUAUUCGUCAACAAGAUCAGUGGCCAAGAUUGCUUGGACUGCAAAUGUUACAUCCCACAGUUGUGACCCGUUGUAUCCCUGUCAUUGAGGAUUUUAUAAUUAAUAUCAAAAUCCCCAAUUGAUUAAAUUUUUCCUAAAUAAAACUGUUUAACUAAUUGCAACCUGCAUCUUCAUUCCAUCUUCAGCAAUCCAGAGAUAGUCUUUAAUUCUUGAGAGGUGACGUUUAUAGGCCUCAGAAUUUGGGUCCUCCACCCAACAGCAAAUCAUGUUUAGUACCUAUGUAUGCACAAAGGUUUGACAAUGAAUUCAAAUGUAGUGGGCUGAUAUUAUGUGCGCACACAUGUUACUAUUUCAUUGGUGGGGUUGUGGGCCCACAACAUAAUCCUCCUAAUAAAAAAUUGACAUGCGUCCUAUUGCGUACUAUAACGUGCGUGACAAUACUCAUCCAAUUAAGAUCAUUUAAAUGUAAUUAAUUGAUCUUACAUUAUUAAUUAAUAUUCCUAAAAUAGCUUCCAAUGUAUCAAAAACCAUUCUAAAACUUUGUAAAUACAAUUAUUUUUCCAAAAAAGCUUACAAUGGAUUUGAUUUGACCAAUGGCAGAAUAAGAAUUUUGGUUCAAUGGGAGGUAUAAUAGAGAAAAACAAACUUUUUAGGCUAAAAGAUAAAAACUGUAAAUAUGAAGGGAUUAGGCAUAAAAUUUACAUUAAGUGGGUUAAAUUUCGUCCUGAAAAUUACCUUAUUGACGGGGCCAAUGCAAAUAUACUGAGUAUUCUCAUCUUCAUAAUGGAUGUGCUGCAUUACAGUUUUAAGAGCAUUGUGUCUCAGCUUAGAGAAAGGCCAUUUCAUUACAAGAGGUUCCCCAAUUUUGUGAAGACACCCCCAUAAUAUGUCUUGGAUCAUGGGGUGGGGAUAGUAAAGGUCCUCCUGCAAAACGUUAAUUUUUCUCCUAUUAUAUUAGUAAUAAUACAAAUAAAGCUAAAUAUACCAAUUGCCAUACAAAGUUUUAUUUGCUUACAAAUUGGUAUGGUAUUUUUCUUUAAACAAUUUUAAUACAAAUGCUCUCUUUACAAGCAGGUCCAAAAUUAAAAUCUUGUCAUAUUAGAACAAGGGAACCACUCUAGUUUUCUUUAAUUAAUAUUUCAAAAAUAAUUUCUGCAACCUCUAUCGUCCUUCCGUCUACUUUUGAAGAAAGUGACCUUCCAUCCACUUUUGAUUUUGAUAGGAAAUUAAAUAUUAUACAUUAUGCGAAAAUAUUGAUCAUUUGAUUGUCUUUUAUUAUAGAUCUCAAUUAUUGAUUCAAUCUAAAUCAUUCGGGAGUUAAAUAUUUUUAAUUUCUUCACAAUUACAUCGUACUACUUCUCAAAAAAUAAAAGAGAAAAAGAAAAUUAGAUCGUACUAUCUUCCCUACUUUAUAAUCAAAUUUGUUUAUAUUAUGUUUUCAAAAAAUGAAAAAGAUUAUCUCACUCAUUAUUUUAUAUCUUAUUCUCAUGUCACCCGUACUAAAAUUUAUAAUUUAAUCCCUUGCAAGCGACACCGCCAACAUUUUUUAAAGCCCCAAUUGGCGAAUCGUACCACUCAUUAUUAUUAAUUUGAGCAAUUAACCAUGCAUUGACAGUAAAAUAAAAUUAGUUUUCUAUUAGGCUAAUGCUAAGUUACAUGCAUGUAAAAUAGGGGGAUUCUUUCUAUUAAGUUAUCAAAGAAAAAUGAGUGGAACCCCUUGAAUAAAUAUCUUUAAUUAUUUAAUUAAUUAAUUUAUUUAUAAUUUAUAAUUAAUUGAAAAACUAUGGGUAAAAGUAAAUGAAUUUCAUUAUAUAUAUUUAUAUAUUCGGGUUCCCUUAUAUUAUUAAAGUAAAACACGUUAUAUUGGAGCGUGUAUUUUGUCUUUUACUUUAUCUCUUACUUUAAUAAUUUAAGAAAUCUCUAAUUAGAUAAUCACUGUAUAUAAAUUAAACUUUUGCAUUUAAUUUUCAAUUGUUUUGUAAAAAUUCAUAACAAAUUAAAAUUUUAUGAAAAUUUUGCUUACUUGUUCCAUAAUUUUUCAUUUACUUUUGCAAUUAGUUGUGAAAAAUAAUUAGUCAAUUAAUUAAAGAAUUAAAUAUAUUCACAUAUAUCCCAAUGUCAAACAACCACAAAGGAUAAAAUGAUAAGAUUAAAAAAAAAUUAACACCCAAAAAAUUGAAAUGUGUUUUAAAGUAUGAAAGGGUUUCGAUUAGUCUUAUUAAACAAUAUGGGUUCGCUCUUUUUCUCAAAUUAUCACAUAAAAGAGAAAUGAGAGGAAAAAAAUUGACAUCUAAUAUUGUAAUUGUAAUAUUUAUUAUUAGUAGAGUAUUAAGUUAAUUCGGCUUGUCUUUUCUCUUGUCACACAUAAAGUUAUGAAGUUUUUAAAUUUAAAUAGAAUGGAAUAAAGAUUAUUUUAAUUUUAUUGUACCUUGGCACACAAAUUUCGGGCAUGGUCCCAAUCGAUGUCCGGUGAACAGCCUGUUACUAAAUAAUAACUAGUGAUGAAAAACAACGGAAGCCUCAUCCCCACUACGGAACUGCUGUACGGCCAGGGCGGAUGUACGGUACAGCAGCCACAGUUUUAAAAUUUUCUUGAAUUUUUUCCGCACUUUAAGAUCCCAGACCAAAAAACAUAAACAUCCGAUAUUAAUUAACUACAUGGUAUAAUGAGUUCCUUUUCACUUAAAAUAUCAAUUUAAGGUUUUGAAUUUACACAUAAAAAAGCUGGAUUAUAGAUAAUAUAAACAAACACACAAACAAAAUUAGUUUUUACCUGGAUGAAAAGGAAGAAAAUAAGGGAGAAGCCAUAUUUCCGGGGGUAGUGGAUUGUUCCCACUCCACUCGUAUACUCCAAGCACCUAUUUUUAUUUUGCCGAAAAAUAUCGGUAGCAAAAAUCUAAAUAAUGAUUUGUGAAGAUAAAAUAACAAAACAGUAAUAUAAAAUGUGAACUAAUUGUAUACGGUUUGCUCGCAAUUCAGUGCUAAAUUGUUGUGUAUUUUAGCCUUGAAAUGCCAACAUUCGUGAACAAAUUUGCACGAAGACGUUCAGACCGGAGAAUGAUUACAAGGAUGUAAUGAAUGGUUCAUACCGAAAGCCACAUCUUUCCCCAAGAUGGAAUGGAGGUCACCCCACCGCGAUCAAGGAUCCAUUUUCGGGCUUUUUCCAUGGCACCAUCAUCCCCACCGUCCAUUGUCUCUCCAAGCAGUCUCAAAGUGACAUAUGAUAGCGCAGUACAGAACAUCGUGCUGCACCCUUCUAUAUGCAAUCCCCAUCCUCCAUCUCUAUUCUGUAGAUUAUUGGUUUCACAUUACUCCGCAAAAAUUAUGGCUUAGUUUCAAUAAACACCUUCAGUUUUGUGAAAUAUUUGUUGAGAAAUUAAUCUACACGGUUAAUAGAAUUGUUUAAUUAUGUAUUUUUAUAAGUAAAACAUAUACCUGGUGGUUAUAUAGAUAACGAAUCAUUUCCCUUCGAUGUUCCACUGUUAAAAUUGCAUUCAAGGCACCGGUUACAAAUAAGCCCAUCACCUGUCUCAUAAUUUAUUACACAUAAAUAUUGAUUUUGAGUUUGAAAAUGGAUAUAUAAAUGAUGCGACUUAAUUUUGAAAAAUAUAUAUAUAUUUUAAAAAAAAAGAAUCUUAAUCUUAAUUUUCAAAAAUAUGCAUAGAUUUUUUUUAAAAAAAAAAAAAAAAAGAAUGCUGAUGCUUGUCAUGAUGACAACAAUAUGAAUAAGACAUUGAAAGCAGUUUUUUUGCUAGAAAUACCUACAAUUUUUUUUUUUAAUAACAGAAAGGGAGAGAAGGGGACCGUGAAAUUGUAAAUUCAAUGAAUUUGUUCAAUUCUUUGUGACUAAUAAGAACCUUAUAUUAAACUAUAUGGACAUGUAUAGACUUAAAAAAUACCAAAAAUGAUAACAUUAUUGAAGUUCAGUUUACUCGUAUCGGUGCUGAUGUGAUUUCUGAAGAGAAAAAAAUAUGAUUUCGGGAGGCUGGGAUCAUUAACAUAGUGAAAACGACUAUUGAAAUUUUUUUUUCUUUUCUUUUCGUUAAUUUUCACGAAAAUAAAUAAAGAUUUGAAGAAGGAGAUCAUAUUUCUUUAAUCCGAAAGUUGGCUUCAAUUUGUCCAAGUACAAGAAAGUCUUACAUGAGAUCAUCAUUUGCACACUCAUCUAACAAAGUUUUGAUUACACACGCACAUCUUGAAAUCGACCAAUUGUGAAUACAUACGAAUAAAUGAUUUUUAAGAUGAAUGAAUAUCAUGAUUUGAUCAGACGAUCAUAUUAAGCCUCUCUCAUAUAAGUGAUUAAAAACACUCACACACAUUUCUGUGUAUCUUUAUUUUUUUAUCCAAAAUAUUAUAAAAACUCAAAAGACAAGUAAACUAAUUGAGGAUCACCAUAUAUGUAUGUAUAUAUAGAUAUACCAAGCCAGGAAGAAGGAAUAAAGGGCCACCAUAGUCACCAGGCCAAAAGCCAUCCUCGGCCUGGAGACUAGAAUAGAAUCUCAGAGCUCUCCUCAAUGUUGUACUCACAACUUGCUCAUCACUUAUUUCUUCAUCAUCUUUUACUUUCACCUGAGGCAGCUGCUUCAUCUCACAUGCAUUCUCCUUCGCAAACUGUACAUAUAACAUAAACACAAGUAAUAUAUUACUCGGUAAUUCUCAAAUCCUGACGACUUCAUGAUGAGAAUUAUAUUAAUGGUUGAAUCUGCAUUUUAUAAAGUGCGAAAAUGAUGAAAAUCUUGGUGUAAAGUUUACAUACAUACAAACGAUAUUUCUUUACCUGAAGUCUCAUUAAGAGAUCAGAACUGUGCUUCGUUAGAAACCGAUUCUCGGUGAAAUCAUUGCGAAGUUUGUUAACUUGUUGCCGUUCUUCAGGAGUUCCAAGAUUUGGGUCAAAUUCCCAGAAUUGUCUGCCAAUAUGAUUGUUCAAACUUGUAAGCCAUGGAUCAUGUUCACAAUUUCCUUCCGAAAGCUUCAAUUUCCACAUUCUUUAAAUAAAAAAAAAGCUAUAUAUAUGAAGAGAUUUGGAGCAAUUUGGCAGCAAUGACACAAUGUUUAAGCAAAGCAAUAUGUGUGCAUGAAGAAUUAGCAUUACAUCAAGGUGAUUAUAUAGGCAUUAAUUCUAAUUACAAUUACAAGGGUACCCUUAAUUAACACUUGCGUUACGAUUUAAUCACAUUAUAGGAGCCGUCGCCUAGCACAUGAAUUUCAAUUGUCUCCAAAUUAAAUGAUUAUUAAAUUGAACAUGAUAGUGCGUGAUACGUGAUUUGGACUUUGUACUUUACAUAAUCCCGGAUCUGGUCUGGACUUUAACAAAAUCUCGGAUAAUAAUCCCAUCCUGUCAGAAGCAAUCCCUUUUGCAAGAAGCUAUUUUGGAACAAAACGAAGGUUUUCUACUUCAGGAACAAUUAUAAAUAGAAAGCAAUCCUAAUUCCUACCUUAUGAUAUAUUCCAAUCUUAAAUUUAGAUUUUGUUAAAAUUUGAUAGAGUUAUUAAAUCAUAUAGUCUCAUAAGUUAUUACACUAUUUUUUUUUUUUUAGAAGAUGCUAUUACACUAUUAAACCAUAUGACUUAAUACUUUUUUUGAACUUUAAUAAAGUCCAUGACUCUCUCUCUCUCUCUCAAUAUAUAUAUAUAUAUAUAUAUAUAUAUAUAUAUAUAUAUAUAUAUAUAUAUAUAUAUAUAUAUAUAUAUAUAUAUAUAUAUAUAUAUAUAUAUAUAUAUAUAUAUAUAUAUAUAUAUAUAUAUAUAUAUAUAUAUAUAUAUAUAUAUAUAUAUAUAUAUAUAUAUAUAUAUAUAUAUAUAUAUAUAUAUAUAUAUAUAUAUAUAUAUAUAUAUAUAUAUAUAUAUAUAUAUAUAUAUAUAUAUAUAUAUAUAUAUAUAUAUAUAUAUAUAUAUAUAUAUAUAUAUAUAUAUAUAUAUAUAUAUAUAUAUAUAUAUAUAUAUAUAUAUAUAUAUAUAUAUAUAUAUAUAUAUAUAUAUAUAUAUAUAUAUAUAUAUAUAUAUAUAUAUAACGCAGUCCACACAAUCAUUUCUUAAGAUGUUAGCCUACAGUUUUAAGAUUUACGCGAUGUGAUAUUGUCAUGUAGACGUCUGUUUCAUCAAAGUGGCAACAUAAUAUCCACACGUAACAAUUAGGAUGUGUUUGGCACGUAAGAUAGGAUAGGAUGGAAUAACAUAAGAUAUGAUUGUAAAAUUAUGUUGUAUUUGGAAGGAUAUGAUAAGAUAAGAUUAUAUUAGAUUUGGUAUUAUCUCGUGUUUGGUAUACUAUAGCAUUGUACUGAACUAAACUUAAGAUAGGAUUGUACUAAUUUUUGGGACAAAAUAAAAAAUUAAUCCAAUCUUGGGCAUGUUUGGCUGUCUGAAUUAGUUGAUUAGUCCAACAUUUAAUCCGUAAUGAGGUUAUUAAUGUAAGUAGGAUAAAAUCUUCUUUAUCACUCUUUUCAUUUUUAUUUAAACUAAUAUUCAUAUAAAUAAAUAAAUAAAAUUAAUUUCAUAAUUGAUUUAAACUAAAAUUUUAUAUUAUACUAAUUAUCAAAUUUAAAUUCAACAAUUUGUUGACGCUAGUAUUUAAUAUAAGAUUAAAUAUCAAAAUUAUAUUCAAUAAUUUAUUUACAAAAUAUUAAAUUUAACAAGUAGUAAUAUAAUUUAAAAUAAUUGUACUAUUUAAAUAGUUAUUUAGCUUUAUUAAAUUAAAUUUAGCAUACUCAUGAUAUUAUAACAAACAAAAGACAAUACUACAUAUAAUUCACUCUAUUCAAUUCUAAUAUAGUUCAAUCUAAUUUUAGUAGUUAGUUGAAUUCAAUCCUGUAUGUCAAACAUAUCCUAGGAUUGUACUAAACUAAUUUAGAAGAAAAUGAAAUAUAUUAGUAUUGAUUUAUUUAUUUAUAAGAGUAGAUUUAUGAACAUAAAUUUUUUUAAUAUGAAUAUUCAAAUUAUUAAAUAAAAAAACUACUGAAUAUUUUGUGUGUGUGUGUAAUUUAGAAAUUCUAACAUCUAUAUUAUUAGCUAAGUAAAAUAAAAAAUUUAAAGUAAAUAAAUAUUUAAAUAUCAAUAUGAUAAUAUAAUAUAAUAAUAUUUAGAAAUAUUUCAUAGCGUAGUUAUUCUACAAUUACUUGUAAACAUGAAAAAAAAAUUUAGAAAGCUAUCCUUACAAUUAUCAUUGGAUAAAAAUUUUUAUUUUGCUUCAUAAAAAUUAAAAAUGUGGGACCAGGAUUAAAUAGUGUGAUCCUAAGAUUUUAUCUUUAUAGCACCAAAUAAAGAAUUAGACUAAUUUAAUUAAAAAAAAGUCCUAUCCUAUAUAUAUAUAUAUAUCACCUGCGUUGCAACAUAUGAUACUAUUUAUCUUCAUUCAGAUAAACUGUUGGAUUAAAAAUAAUUGAAUCUAAUGGUUGGAGUUAGAUAAAUUUUAAAUGAGAACUUGACUGGCAACCUUUGAAACUGGUUAUGUAUUUUUGUAUUAGGGAACGUCGGUUUCACAAAAUGCAUUGCAAUGUUAAACAACCACUCCUUCUUACUAAUCUCAACUUCCCUUAUUCUAACAAAUAAACAUAAACCAGCCCUCCUAAGCUAAUUACCUCUGUCUUUCUCUUUCAAACUUUUUGUUUUUGUUUUUGUUUUUUUUGGCAUUACUAGCUGCAUCGAUUCCAAGGCCAUAACAACAUAUGAAACGGAUGCCAUAUUCACUUUAUUUUCACAUAAUGAGAUGUGCCUAUUUCGUUUUCUUCCAGCACUGCCCAAUAUUGUUUUCGGUCACAUCUUCGUCUUCACGAUCGGAAUUUCUGUUUGCUUUAAUUGACGUUGUUGCUGAUUUAAUCUGCACACAUCGAAAUUGAAAUUUCACAAUCACAAUUUGUGGGGGGAUGGACAAGAUAUCGAUGAUCGGAAUUUCUGAGGAGUGGAAAGUAUUUAGAUGCCCACCACAAUUUCUACAGUGUGGACAAAUUUCUGACAAUGGCCUUCCAAAAAAGAGUCAAUAGCAAUAUGUAUGCGGACCCUUAUUUAAUCUAUUGUUUUUUUCAAUUUGUUUUAGCAACCGGCUCCUUCAUUUAUAUAUCUACUUUCUAACUCCAACCGUUAGAUUUAAUCACUUUUAAUCUAAAAUAUAUCUGAAUGAAGACAAAUCGUGUUGUACGUUGUUGCAAUAGUUGCAACGUAAGCAAGUCUUAUAUAUAUAUAUAGAGAGAGAGAGAACAUCCUCAUUAUAAUAAAAUGAGGAUACUAUCAACAUUUAAAAGAAAAAUACAAUCUUUAAUAUAUUAAAAUUUACAUUUUUUUAAUAUUUUAAUAAUAUUUUUAUUUUAUUAAAAUGAGGAUGUCUGCACUAGAGAAUUAUUAUAUAUAUACAUUUACGUAUACAUAUAUAUACACACUGCCACCAAACGUGAACUUAGGAAAUUCUGGUUCUGUUCGAUAUUUUUAAAAAAUCAAACCCGAUCAAUUCAGUAUAAAGCUGAACCAUAAUGAACCCGUGAAUUGGUCCAAUCUGGUUUAGGUUCAGUUUCAACUUUGAACAUAGUUUUUUUUUUUUUAAAUCAAAUUUUCCGUAUUUUUUUUCUAUUUUAUUUGAUAUUUUUGUUGCGACAAACUGUCAUGGAGUUAAAUAUUUCAAAUUUUGAAAAAGGAAGAAAGUAAAUAAAUAAUUUUUGAACUUGGCAUCUGAAAAAGCGAAAAAAUGGACAGGCGUAUGUCUGACAAAUCCACGUGUCACCAAUCAAACAGCAACGAGGCUCAUAAAACGGAACUAACGGGACCCACGCUCAUAGGCUUCCUGAAAUUCGAAAUACAGAGUAAGCGCGCAAAAUUCAAGCCGAAACAGAAAAAACAAAAUCUCACGCACUCUUUCUCUUAAGGAUUCACACCGAAGAGAGGUGAGGAGGAGUUCUCGAUAUCUGCAUCAAGUUCUCUGAGAUUGUGGCCUUUCAAUUAUUUUAUUAUUUUAAUUUUGAGUAUUUCAAUGAUUCAAUCUCUCUACUAUCAAUUUAAUUUGAUUUUUUCAGUUCUCCAAGAAUUUUUAUCCACGGUAAUGCUGGUCUCAGUCUUUGUGGUUUAAGCUCGCGCUAUCUCUUUACGUUCGUCGAUUCUUUAAUUCUUUUGUUAAAUUUACUUUAUGCUCAAUUGUCGACAGUGUAGGCUGUAGAGUAAAUUUUGAAGAAAUUAUGAAAAUAGAAAAUGUUGUCAUUUACGGUGUUAUUUUAUUAUUUAUUUACUUGUUAUCAUGAAAAAUUCUUCAUUCAUUUGCAUUCUUUUAGCACCGAUGGUUUCAUAAGAGAAAAAAAUUACUCAUUUUAGGAACGAUUUGGUGAUUUAGCAAGAUGAAGGCAAAUUCACAGAUGAAAGGAAGGGGAGCUUCUAGGGUUAAUGUACAACAAGUCUCAUUUGAGCUUAAGCAUAAAGUGAUUCUUGCACUAAACAAGCUAGCUGAUAGAGAUACUUAUCAAAUAGGGGUCGAGGAGCUUGACAAAUUGGCUGAAUGUUUAACCUCAGAGAAGAUUGCUCCAUUUGUUUCGUGUAUUUUGGACACCGAUUCAGAACAGAAGAGUGCAGUUCGAAAGGAAUGUGUUAGAUUGAUGGGUACAUUAGCUAAGUUUCAUCAAGCUCUUGUUGGGCCGCAUGUCAAUAAAAUGGUUGCUAGCAUUGUUAAGCGACUCAAGGACUCGGAUUCUGUUGUGAGGGAUGCUUGUGUGGAAACAAUGGGAGUUUUGGCUUCGAAAUUGAGUAAUCAUGGGGAUGAGAGUGAUGAUGGGGUAUUUGUAGCAUUAGUGAGGCCAGUGUUUGAAGCUUUAGGUGAACAUAAUAAGCAGGUGCAGACUGGUGCAGCUUUGUGCUUGGCAAGGGUUAUUGACAAUAGCCAUGAUCCUUCAGUUUCAAUUUUGCAGUGAAUGUUGACUCGAAUCAUAAAGUUGCUUAAGAAUCCACAUUUUACGGCAAAACCAGCAGUUAUUGAGUUGAAUAGAAGUAUCAUUCAGGUCAGUUUUUAAACUGAAGGGUGGGUUGCCUUUGAUUUUGUGCAUUGUCUCUCUAUGCUUUUGAAUGUCCUGGUGAAUCACUUUAUGCUUUCAAUGCCCUGGUGAAUCACUUUAUGGUCACACAUAUUAUUGUGAUUUAAUUUCAACAAAAUUAAAUUAAUAUGAUACGUACCCUCGAGGCCUAGUUCAAUUAGUUUCAAGUAUCCUCCAGGCUGAAGCAAUUCACCAACGAUUCUGUCAGGCUGCGUCAUAUCUCUUUCUAUCACAUGAACUCGCCUUCCAUCCUGCAUAUAUUUUUUUCAAUUGAUUAUUACUAAGGUGGCGUUUGUUUUUUUGUCUGAAAUCUGAAUAGAUCUGAAUUAGUCUGAAUUCUGAAUAGGUCUGAAUGUCUGAAUCUGAAUAAUAUGUUUGUUUUUUCGUCGGAAUCUCAGAAAAUAAGUAUUAAGUUGUUUGUUUUUUUCAACUUAAAAAGCUGAAAAUAUGUACUUUUACAUUUGUAUCCUUAUUAAAUUUGAAUGUCAAAUAAAUAAUAUAUUAAAUACCACAAUAUUUUAACAUUUAUAAGUAAAACUAUAUUCAAGUGAAUAUAUAAUUAUUUUAGAAUUUUAAUACAUAAAAUACCAUAAAUUUCAAAUUUUAUCGUAUAUAAUAUAAGAAAUAAAAAAACAGGGAUAUUUUUAUGUGGGGUAAAUAUCUAUGGGUGAGUUUUGGGAUAGACAUAAAAAAUAAAUUAUAAAACAAGGAUAUUUUUGACAUUAGCAAGUAAUUGACUUAAUUUAGAUUCCUCCAUUAAGUAAAAAGUCAAAAAAAUUAGCUUAUUUUAUUAAGUCAAAAUUAUCUAAAUAGUCUCAUUAAGUUAUAAAAACAAACACCUCUAAUUAACUUAAUUAAUUAAGUUAAGUCACUUUAAGUCAUUAAGUUAAAAAACAAACGCCACCUAAGUCAUCAAGUGACUCGAGAUAAACAUCCAAAAAAAAAUGAAAAUAAAAUUUUACGUACCGUGCCAAGGGUAUGAGCCAGGGCAGCACCAGCGACACCAGCACCAACAAUGAUGACAUCAGGUCCGGAAACACUCUCCGGUGAGGAAUGUCGUGUUGGGAAAAUAUGUUCUUUAAAAACAUAUGUGUUUAUUUAAUUAUAAUAUAUUUUUUUUAUUAAUAAAAUUAAUGAGGUAUUUUAUUCAAAUAUCUUAAUUGCAUUAAUAUUUUUAUUAAAGUCCAUUUAAUCAUAUUAUAUGUAUUUAUGUGAUCACCAUGUGGAUUCACAGAAGACAUAAAUACAAGUUAUCUUAUGAUUAAAUAAAUUUAGUUUGCAGUUGAUAAAUAAAGUUGGGCACUUUAUUUAGGUAUAGACUGUAAUAAAUUCAUUGAAUGAUUUGUCUUAAUCAUGUAUGAAUUUAUUGAUGUAGUACGACUACAUUGAACAUGAUCACAUAUGAGAUUUAAUUAACUUUGUAAUAACUGUCAGACUUAUUAAAUCUCAUAGGCAUUGAUUUUACUGUAAUCUUAAUCUUGAGUUAAUUAUGAUUUCAUGAUUGUAAUUGUUAUUCCAUUUGAGUUACUAAUGGGUAUGACACAUACUUGUAGUCUAGUAUACCCGGUAUCUUGGUGGGAGCAUUUAUGAGUAUUGAAGUUAUAGAUUAACAAUAUAGAAUUUGUACAACACAUCUCUUGAUGGGUUUUUAGCACUUGAUCAUAGAAUUCUCUGACCAGAGUGUGUCAACAUAUUUAGUAUGUUGAAAAUGAUCAUUAGAGAAAAUCAGUAAGGAUUAAAGAAUAAGAUGUUAUUAAAUUGAUUGGACAGUUGAGAUAUUAAUUUAAUUAACGAUGUGGUACAAAGAAUUGUGCAGUAAAGAAAUCAAUGUGACUUGGGAUGCCACUAUUGUAUGUUCUCAAAUGAUCCCCGGGUUAGCUCAUUUAAUUGACUGCACCACUACUGGACUAAUAAGCAAGAUAACUAGCUAUUUGGGUCAAAAGCCUAAAUAUAUCAUUUAGUGGGAGGCUCUAUUUAAUUAGCUUAUGUGUAAGGGGCCUUAUGUUAUUUUACAUGGUGGGUCCCCUAUUAAAUGAAAAGUAACGUGAAUUUUAUUUUGGACAUUAUUUGGAGCCUAGGAUUUUCACUAAAGGAAGAUAUAUAAGGCUUAUUUUCUCUAAAGAAAAAGAGUAAAGCCACUUUAUACAGAUCAGAGAAUAAGAUUUUUCUCUCUAUUUUUUAGAGAAAAUUUUUCUCAUGCUAGUUACUUUGGUAGUGAUAAAGGCGCCCACACGUCAAGUGCAGAUCGAACCUGAGUCAUAACCUGGAAGAUCAUUGGUGACAGUUUGUGAUCUAACAAGCGUGGUGGUGACGGAACGUGAUCUAACAGGGGUGUUGACGGAACGUGAUCUAACAGGAGUGGUGGUGUCGGAUCGUGAUCUAGGAGCCUAAAUCACUCCAGCAGAAAAAGCCAACUCGAAUUUUCAAGGUACGAUUUCUAGAAAACAAAUUCUUAUAUAUUAUAUGAGAGCGAUCUUCAAAAGGUUUUAUAAAAAAUUUAAAAACUUAAUUUUUCCCCAACAAUUGGUAUCAGAGCUAUCUCAUAUUAAUAUAUAAGAAUUUCGUAUGAAAUUAAUCUUGAAAUUUAUGUAUUAGAGUGACACAUUUUAUUCAAAUAUAUAUUAUUUGUUUAAUAUAUGAAUAAAACAUGUUAUGGUUUGUCUUAAUUCAUGGUUAGAUUUUACUAUGUAUUUUUUCUUUGGAUCUGUAACAAGAGGGGUGGUUUUUCAUCACCAUAUUUUCCUCUUGAUUUAUUUUACUAUUAUAGAAUUUUUGUAAGCCAAGAUUGACUAGGAAAUUUGUAAAUUAAUUACUGGUAAAUUGCGAAAACUUGCUGGAAACUGCGGCAACGAACCAACAGCAAACAGCGCGCGGCCAGCAGCACAUGCUGCCAGCAAGCGCACGUUGUACGCGCAGCGGCCUGUAGCGCAGCGGCCUGUAGCGCGCGGCUCGCAGCACACGCUGCCAACAGCGCGGGCUGCCAGCCAGCAGCCACGCACAGCAGUAGCACGCGACCAGCAGCGCUGCCAACAACGUGAGCGCGCGCAUCGGGGAUGGAAACUUGUAGGCGGUUGCUGCUAGCGGAGGAUGUCGUUUGGUAGUUUUCCCGUACGGCGGUGAUGGUCAAAUCGACCUCUGAAAAUCAUGAACAACGACUGGGUUUUUUGGAGAUGGCGGCUGGGGAAGAGAGAAAGAAAAAUAUGGAUUUAAGGGUUUCAUGGUUUUUAUCUUGGAGAUCCUUAUGGUUCCACAAUUUUUCAUUCGGGCAGAACAUUUUUAAUUUUUUGCGUUUAAAUCUAAAAACAGUUUUGGGUUUAAUGAAUCUUAGUUUUAGGCCCAAUUUCAAUUGGGCUUAAUGGAUUAAAAUGCAUAGACAAAAUUAAAUACAUCAAAUUUAUUUUUGGUCCAAAAGUUUUAUUUUAAUAAACAAAUUUUAAUUAUUUAUUUAUUUCCUUUCAAAAUUAAAAUUGCUGUUUGAAAUUUGCACAUGCUUAAUAAUAUUUGAUAUCAUCUAGAUAAUAUUAUAGGAAGCAUGCAAUUAACAAUAUGUAUGUUUUAAAAAGGAAAAACCAAUUUUAAAAUAUUGAGUGGGAGAGGGAAAAUUCAAGAUAAUUUUCCCACGGGCUCCAUUGUUAGUUCAAUAAUAAAAUUAUAUAUAUACCUCGACUUCAUGAUACGGUGAUGCUCCCUUCGGAGGGUAUAUAUAUUAGAUAUUUUAUUUGAUGAACUUCUUCAAAGAUAAAAUUGAAAUAUUUUUUAAUCGAUUGUUCACCCCAACGGUGACUAUUGAUAUGAAAAAUAUCUAGAUUGAAACAAUGGUUAUACACUCAACUAAAAUUUGUUAUUAACCUUCCCAACGAAGCUCUAUUAACAAAUUUAGGCCCAAAAAGGAUAACGAUAAUUAUUUAUCAUGUCUCUACAUGAAAGUAAAUAAUCCAAUGGGUAAUUGGGUCUAGUAAGUAUAGACAUGACUUCCCUACCGAAUAGUUUGUCAAAGAGGAAUUAGAUUAUCGUUACAAUAAAUUAAAAUGCAUUUAUGGUUUUNNNNNNNNNNNNNNNNNNNNNNNNNNNNNNNNNNNNNNNNNNNNNNNNNNNNNNNNNNNNNNNNNNNNNNNNNNNNNNNNNNNNNNNNNNNNNNNNNNNNNNNNNNNNNNNNNNNNNNNNNNNNNNNNNNNNNNNNNNNNNNNNNNNNNNNNNNNNNNNNNNNNNNNNNNNNNNNNNNNNNNNNNNNNNNNNNNNNNNNNNNNNNNNNNNNNNNNNNNNNNNNNNNNNNNNNNNNNNNNNNNNNNNNNNNNNNNNNNNNNNNNNNNNNNNNNNNNNNNNNNNNNNNNNNNNNNNNNNNNNNNNNNNNNNNNNNNNNNNNNNNNNNNNNNNNNNNNNNNNNNNNNNNNNNNNNNNNNNNNNNNNNNNNNNNNNNNNNNNNNNNNNNNNNNNNNNNNNNNNNNNNNNNNNNNNNNNNNNNNNNNNNNNNNNNNNNNNNNNNNNNNNNNNNNNNNNNNNNNNNNNNNNNNNNNNNNNNNNNNNNNNNNNNNNNNNNNNNNNNNNNNNNNNNNNNNNNNNNNNNNNNNNNNNNNNNNNNNNUUUUAGCCUCGAUUUCUAAUAUUCUGCAGACCAAACAUCAGAACUUGGAGACUGCCACUGAAAUAAUGGAUAGUCUCCAACAGAUGUUCGGGCAGAGUACUCGCUCUGCGAGACAAGCAGCGCUGAAAGGAAUUAUGAAUAGUAAAAUGGGGAAGGGCACAAGAGUUCGUGAUCAUAUCCUCAAAAUGAUGGACUAUUUGAAUGAGACUGAGAUUCAGGAAGCACAAAUCGAUGAUGACUCAAAGAUUGACAUGGUGCUAAAAUCUCUGCUAGAAACAUUCAAGGAGUUUAAGGUCAAUUAUAACAUGAAAAAAAGAAACAUGACAUUAACUGAAUUGAUGAACGAACUCCAUUCUGCUAAAGAGAUCUAUCGUGCUGAGAAAUCUCUGGGAAGCAUAAAUAUUACUGAAAAAAGUUCAUCUUCUGGGCCUAAGCUGAAAGGCAAAGGUAAGAACAAAGCUGGGAAAAAGAGACAGUCUACCAAGCAAGAUGACAAGCAGAAAGGCAAAUGCUUCAAGUGUGGACAAAAAGGUCACUGGAAAGAGGAUUGCCCUAAGAUUUUGAAAUCAAGUAUGGGAAAUUUUUUUGUAUUUGAGCCCUGUUUAGUUCAGAAUCCUAUUGACACUUGAGUGUUGGAUUUAGGAGCAAUUAAUCAUAUUUGUAUAUCACUUUAUUGGUUUCGAAAAACCAGGAAAAUAAGUGAAGGAAGCGUCAAGCUGCAGUUAGGGACAUGACAAUUCGUGUCAGCAGUGAAGACUUGAUCUGUUUUAUUAUCUUUUAAUAAUGAGACUUUAGUUUUGAAUAAUUGUCUUUAUGUUCCAGACAUUAAGAGGAAUUUAAUUUCAGUAGUUUGUUUGUCAAAGCAAUGGUACACUGUAAAUUUUGGAUCCUCUGUUUCUAUUUUUCAUAAUAAGAGACUUAUUUGUUUUGGUGCAUUGGAAGAUAAUUUAUAUCAUUUAAGUCCAAUGAUCCAUUAUAUGCAUGACACAAUGAUCAAUAAUGAUGAGCAUACACAUUUAUCUAAGAAAAGAAAUAUUUCUUCCAACCAAUGUUACAUCUGGCAUUUACGCUUGGGUCAUAUAAACCAAAAUAGGAUACAAAGAAUGAUCAAAGAUGGGCUCUUUGGUCCAUUAGAAAAUGAAUCAUAGCCACUCUAUGAAUUCUGUUUAAAAAAGAAAAUGACCAAAAUGCCAUUCUCAAAAAAAGCAAUUAGAUAAGAACAUAAAGACACUUCGAUCUGAUCGAGGUGGUGAAUUUCUCUCAGGAGAUUUCAAAGAGUAUCUGGUUGAAAAUAAGAUUAUAUCUCAGUUGAUUGCCCCGAGAACACCACAACAAAAUGGGGUAGCUGAAAGAAGAAAUAGAACUCUUUUGGAUAUGGUGAGAUCUAUGCUUAGUUAUUCGUCAUUACCAAUCUCUUUUUGGGGACUAGCACUGGAAACUGCAGUUUACCUCUUGAACUUAGUUCCAUUCAAGUCAGUGCCUAAAACCCCAAUAGAAUUAUGGUCAGGUCACAAACCAAGUUUACGACAUGUCCGUAUUUGGGGAUCACCAGCACAUGUGCUGAAACCAAAGGCAGACAAAAUGGAUUCACGUUCUGAGGUUUGUAUGUUUGUGGGGUAUCCCAAAGGAACAAGGGGAGGUUUAUUUUAUAGUUCUCAAGAUAGGAAAGUGAUCGUGAGCAUACAUUUCACUUCCCUCGAUGAAGACUAUAUGAAUAACUUCAAACCUAAGAGUAAGGUAAUACUUGAAGAACUAUCAGGUCAUCAGGUCGAUGUUCAGCUUUCAACGCCUGUUACAGAACAGAAAGAACAACAACAACAACCAGAUGAUCAACACAGGAUUAACCGUGAACAACCAUCACUUUUAGAAUCUCGUCGUUGUGGGAUGGUAACUAGGUUACCUGCGAGAUACAUGCUUUUAGGAGAAACCUAUACGGCUAUCUCAGAUGAACAUGUACAAGAUCCCACUAGUUACAACGAAGCUUUAAUAGAUAGAGAUGUUGAAUUUUGGAAAAAGGUCAUGAAUCAAGAAAUGGAAUCUAUGUAUUCCAAUAAAGUCUGGGAACUUGUAGAGGCACCAAAUGGGGUAAAACCUAUAGGGUGCAAGUGGAUCUACAAGAGAAAAAGAGGAGUAGACGGAAGGGUGGAAACAUUUAAAGCAAGAUUAGUAGCCAAAAGAUUUACUCAGAAAGAGAGAAUCGAUUAUGAGGAAACAUUUUCUCCGAUUGCUAUGCUUAAAUCUAUCAGGAUUUUGCUCUCCAUUGUUGUAGUGCUAGAUUAUGAAAUUUGGCAAAUGGAUGUCAAGACUGCCUUUCUCAACGGGCAUCUUGAAGAAAACAUCUACAUGCAGCAACCAGAUGGAUUUAUACAAAAAGGCCAAGAACACAUGGUAUGUAAGUUACAGAGAUCCAUUUAUGGAUUGAAGCAAGCAUCCCGGUCAUGGAACAUCAGAUUUGAUCAAGCGAUUAAAUCGUUUAAAUUCAUUCAGAACAUUGUGAACCAUGUGUGUACAAGAAAAUUCAGGGAAAAUUUGUAGCCUUCCUAGUUCUUUGUGUAGACAAUAUUCUCCUGAUUGGAAACGAUAUAGGAGUAUUGACUACAAUAAAGAUUUGGUUAGCAAAAUAAUUUGAUAUGAAAGACCUGGGGGAGGUAAGUUAUAUUCUUGGUAUCAAGUUACUACGAGACCGGAAAAAUAAAACUUUAGCUUUGUCUCAAGCGGACUAUAUCGAUAAGAUAUUGGCUAGAUUUAGCAUGGAAAAUUCCAAGACUGGUUUAUUACCUUUCAGACGUGGAAUUACAUUCUCUAAGGAUCAAUCACCUAAAACAUCUGAAGAGAUAGAGAGAAUGAGACGAGUUCCCUAUGCAGAAGCUGUGGGAAGUCUUAUGUAUGUCAUGCUUUGUACUAGGCCGAUUCCAGAAAAUCAACUUCCGGCUAUGUGUUUACAUUGGGAAGUGGAGCUAUUAGUUGGAGGAGUGUGAAACAAUCUUGUAUCGCAGACUCCACAACUGAAGCUGAAUAUGUGGCUGCAUUCGAAGCUGCAAAAGAAGCUGUAUGGCUCCGUAAGUUCCUAUAAGAUCUUGAGGUGGUACCUAUUAAAAAACAUAUUGAGAGGAAGUAUCAUCUUAUAAGGGAUAUAGUGCAGAGAGGUGAUGUGGAGGUUACUCAGAUUGCGUCAUAGCAAAACUUGGCAGAUCCUUUUACUAAGGCCAUACCUGGGAAACCUUUUAACUUGCACUUAGAAUCCAUGGGCAUGCGUGAGAUGCUAAAUAUGCUUUGAGAGCUAGUGAGAGAUUGUUGGGAAAAUAUACUUUUUAAAAGCAUAUGUGUUUAUUUAAUUAUAAUAAACAUUUUUUCUGAUUAAUAAAAUUAAUGAGGUAUUUUAUUCAAAUAUCUUAAUUGCAUUAAUAUUUUUAUUAAAGUCAAUUUAAUCAUAUUAUAUGUAUUUAUGUGAUCACCAUGUGCAGAAGAUAUAAAUACAAGUUAUCUUAUGAUUAAAUAAAUUUAGUUCGCAGUUGAUAAAUGAAGUUGGGCACUUUAUUUAGGUAUAGACUGUACUAAAUUCAUUGAAUGAUUUGUCUUAAUCAUGUAUGAAUUUAUUCAUGUAGUACGACUACAUUGAACAGGAUCACAUAUGGGAUUUAAUUAACUUUGUAAUAACUGUCAGACUUAUUAAAUCUCAUAGGCGUUGAUUUUACUGUAAUCUUAAUCUUGAGUUAAUUAUGAUUUCAUGAUUGUGAUUGUUAUUUCAUUUGAGUUACCAAUGGGCACGACACAUCCUUGUGGUCAAGAUUACUCGGUAUCUUGGUGGGAGCAAUUAUGAGUAUUGGAGUUAUGGAUUAACAAUAUAGAAUUUGUACAACACAUCUCUUGAUAGGUUUUCGGUACUUGAUCAUAGAAUUCUCUGGCCAGAGUGUGUCAACAUAUUUAGUAUGUUGAAAAUGAUCAUUAGAGAAAACCAGUAAGGAUCAAGGAAUAAGAUGUUAUUAAAUUGAUUGGACAGUUGAGAUAUCAAUUUAAUUAACGAUGUGGUACAAAGGAUUAUGCAGUAAAGAAAUCAAUGUGGCUUGGGAUGAAUUAUUAUUCGAGCAUACAAUUAUGGAGGUCAAUUCCAAUCUUUUAGUUGAGUAUAUUUGGAAUUAAAUAAUUAGGCUAGUUUAAUUACAUGUCUAAUUUUUAUAGCCAUUAUUGUAUGUUCCCAAAUGAUCCCCGGGUUAGCUCAUUUAAUUGACUGCACCACUACUGGACUAAUAAACAAGAUAACUAGCUAUUUGGGUCAAAAGCCUAAAUAUAUCAUUUAGUGGGAGGAUUCAUUUAAUUAGCUUAUGUGUAAGGGGCCUUAUGUUAUUUUACAUGGUGGGUCCCCUAUUAAAUGAAAAGUAACGUGAGUUUUAUUUUGGGCAUUAUUUGGAGCCUAGGGUUUUCACUAAAGGGAGAUAUAUAAGGCUUAUUCUCUCUAAAGAAAAAGAGUGAAGCCACUUUAUACAGAUCAGAGAAUAAGAUUUUUCUCUCUAUUGUUGAGAGAAAAAUUCUCUCGUGCUAGCUGCUUUGGUAGUGAUAAAGGCGCCCACACGUCAAGUGCAGAUCGAACCUGAGUCAUAACCUGAAAGAUCAUUUGUGACAGUUCGUGAUCUAACAAGCGUGAUGGUGAUGGAUCGUGAUCUAAGAGCCUAAAUCACUUCAGCGGAAAAAGCCAACUCGGAUUUUCAAGGUACAAUUUUUAGAAUACAAAUUCUUAUAUAUUAUAUGAGAGCGAUCCUCAACAAAUUUUAUAAAAAAUUUAAAAUCUUAUUUUUUCCCCAACAAUAUGUUGGUCUCUGCAAAUUAAUUAUUAGUAUCCCUAAUUAGUCUUUUCUUAACAAGCAGCUGGCUAAUUGAUAGUAUCGAUUUGACUUGUCUCAACAGGUUGAAAUACCAUCAUGUUUUGUCGGUAUGGUAUUAGCGAACUGUCAGCUUCCAGUCCCAAAUCACGGGCACGUAGUUUUAGCAGAUCCUUCACCCAUCUUGUUUUACCCAAUUAGUAGCACAGAAGUGAGGUGCUUGGUUGAUGUUCCCGGUCAGAAAUUACCUUCAGUUGCCAAUGGUGAAAUGACAAAAUAUUUGAAGACCAAAGUAGCACCGCAGGUGCAUCUUUAUGUUACUAAAUGUUUUAUAUUUAUACAUAUAAUUUUUUUUUCCAAAAAAAUGUAUACAUAAGGAAUCCCAUAUUAAUUAUGAACUUGGUGUUUAUUUCAGGUACCAAUUGAGUUUCGUGAUGCAUUCAUUUCUACAGUUGGAAAAGGCAACAUUAGAACAAUGACAAACAAAAGUAUGCCGGCUGUCCCGAAGCCUACACCCGGAGUGGUACAAAGGAUUAUGCAGUAAAGAAAUCAAUGUGGCUUGGGAUGAAUUAUUAUUCGAGCAUACAAUUAUGGAGGUCAAUUCCAAUCUUUUAGUUGAGUAUAUUUGGAAUUAAAUAAUUAGGCUAGUUUAAUUACAUGUGAAAUCUCCAUACCCACUGGGGAAAUUUCAGGCCAAUGUCGCCGGCAGGAGCUUUCACAAUGGCCGGUUCAUUCAAAGAAUGAGAGAAAAAGCUGCUUCUCUUCCGAAGUACGUACACAUUUUCGCAUUGAUUACGUUAAAAUUGUCUGGAGUAAAUUAAAGAUAAAAAGUUCGUCAACUCCAAUGCAUUGAUUGGUCCAGAUUUCAACAAAAGAGAAAAGCAUGCAUAUAUUAAUUAAUUUCUUUAAUUUGCGCUUUGCUUUGACUGAUUGUUACAUGAUCAUGAUGAUUAAUUGUUCAAUUCCAAAGUACAAAUCAAUCAAUUAAUUAAUUAAUUAACAUUUGACAAUUUAAUGAUCAAUUCAGUGUACGGAUGGAGGAAGGGACAGUGACAUCACUGUUUGAAGAAAAUGGAAUCGUAAAAGGAAUUCAUUACAAAACUAAGGACGGUCAAGAGCAUAAAUCUUGUGCUCCUCUUACGAUUGUAUGUGACGGUGGCUUCUCCAAUUUGCGCCGGUCUCUUUGUAACCCAAAGGUGGAAAUUUCUAUCUUAUUUUUUAAUUAGUUAUAUGUUGGUCUCUGCAAAUUAAUUAUUAGUAUCCCUAAUUAGUCUUUUCUUAACAAGCAGCUGGCUAAUUGAUAGUAUCGAUUUGACUUGUCUCAACAGGUUGAAAUACCAUCAUGUUUUGUCGGUAUGGUAUUAGCGAACUGUCAGCUUCCAGUCCCAAAUCACGGGCACGUAGUUUUAGCAGAUCCUUCACCCAUCUUGUUUUACCCAAUUAGUAGCACAGAAGUGAGGUGCUUGGUUGAUGUUCCCGGUCAGAAAUUACCUUCAGUUGCCAAUGGUGAAAUGACAAAAUAUUUGAAGACCAAAGUAGCACCGCAGGUGCAUCUUUAUGUUACUAAAUGUUUUAUAUUUAUACAUAUAAUUUUUUUUUCCAAAAAAAUGUAUACAUAAGGAAUCCCAUAUUAAUUAUGAACUUGGUGUUUAUUUCAGGUACCAAUUGAGUUUCGUGAUGCAUUCAUUUCUACAGUUGGAAAAGGCAACAUUAGAACAAUGACAAACAAAAGUAUGCCGGCUGUCCCGAAGCCUACACCCGGAGCCCUUUUGCUGGGAGAUGCGUUCAACAUGCGCCAUCCUUUAACUGGUGGUGGAAUGACCGUGGCUCUCUCUGACAUCGUCGUGCUUAGAAAUCUUAUUAAGCCUCUGCAUAAUUUUCAUGAUGCCGCUUCUCUUAACAAGUACCUCGAAUCCUUUUACGUCUUACGCAAGGUAAACGUCAAAUUUAAUCACUUGGUAUCAAGUAUAACGGCACGAAGUUAGUGAUAAUAUUAACUACUAAGAAAAGUUACUACAAACAUACUAUAAAAUUUAAUUUGCGCCCGAAAAUAAAAUUGUUUUUCUUUCAUGCACGCAGCCGGUGGCAUCUACAAUAAACACUCUGGCAAAUUCUGUUUACCAGUGUUUUCAGCAUCAUCAGAUGAAGCAAGAGAGAUGAUGCGGCAAGCAAGUGUUGAUUAUUUAGGGCGUGGAGGAAUUUACACAUCGGGGGCAAUGGCUCUACUCUCAGGCCUAAACCCUCGCCCAUCAAGCUUAAUUUUCCAUUUCUUAGCAAUGGCAGUAUUUGGUGUUGGCCGUUUGUUACUACCAUUUCCGUCGCCUAAACGCUUGUGGAUUGGUGCUAAGCUAAUUUGGGUACGUGCAUUUUCUAUCAUCAAAAUUCUCAUCUGGCGCGGAUAUCUGUAUUUUACAAAAUAUUAAUUGGAGUAAACAUAAAGUGAUACUAUAUUAGUAUUACCACAAUUUGUAUUUUGUAAAGUGCAAAUAUUUGUAGGAGAGAAGUAAUUUUUUAUCCGGACAUUUCUUUUCAAUUAAUGAUUUAAAUAAUCGUUUGGAUUGGUUCAUAAAAAAAUUUUCAUAUUCUUACAGGGUGCUUCGGAAAUUCUUUUUCCCAUCAUCAAAGCGGAGGGAGUCAGGCAAAUGUUUUUCCCUGCCACUGUUCCGGCGUUGUAUAGAGCUCCUCCUGUUUAUCGACAUUAAUGUCUCUUAAUCGUGUUUUGUUGCUAUCAAUUACGUGUCCAUAAAGUGAUUAAGGGUGUGUUACUUGAGAUUUUUAGGAGGGGUGCUCUUUAAUUAUCUCAAGCGUAAUUCUUUAAUUUGUAAAAUUACUUUUUUGUAUUCGAUCAAUUAAAAAAAAUUAUAAUCGUUGUCGUUAUUUUUUAAUUUGUGACAAUCUAAAUCGAUCGGAUGCACAUCAUGCAUAUAAUGAAGAACUUCAUUAAUUGUUUCCAGCGUAUCCUUAUGUUGAAGUCUCAUGAAUUUGUAAAACAACUUGCUAAAAUUUAAAUGAUCAUUUCUAGGAAUCACAUGAAGAUCCUUUUUAAUCAUGGCAUUUUGACAUGGGAUGUAAAUAUAUAUGACAGGAAUCAAUUUUAUUAUGUGAUAUAUAUUAUAACCAUCAAGACCCUUAGAUGGUGCUUGUAUGAUAAGAAUCAAGAAGAUAUAGCAUGCACAUGCACAUGUAUGCCAAGAAUUAUAACUAUUAUGUACAAAAAUAUGGCAAAAAUCUUGAUCAUUUUGUAAACAUGGAAAGUGAUCAUUCCCCAAAGUAGAUGGGACCAAAUUUUCUUAUCCUCCUUUCUAUAUUUUAUUUUAGAGGAUAUUUAGGUAGGAUAAUAUGACUACAAAAAAGUGAAUCAUCAUCAAUUGAUCAAUCUAAAACUUGUAGUUCUAUUAGAGAUCACUUUUAUUUAUUUAUUUAUUUUUUAAUGAAUCUCAAUAAUAAUAUUUUUUCGCUUAUUAAGACUUAAACCAAAAUAGAGUCUCAGUAUGUGAACGGUUUAAAAACACUAAUAGUGAAAAUCCCAAGAAUUGAAUGGUAUCAAUUUUAUUUAAAUUUACAUAGACUCACAAAUAGCUUGCUCUAGUAUAUAUAGACUAGCUACCUAUUAUAACAAUAAAAUAAGAGUAGUGCUAGGUGUAGAGAAAGAUGAGAAAUAUUUGUCUUCUCUCUCUCUACCCACCCACUCUCUUUCUUCUUUUUUCUUCUUUAUUUCUCUCAUCUUUCUUUACACCAAGUAUUUCCCAUAAAAUAAUACUUUUUUUUAGCGGUGAAUGGCUACUGCAACGUUACCAUAUUAAAUAGAAUUUAAAGUUGACACAAAAGUAUUGUGAAUUACUUAAAAUGUAAAUAUUGACAAUCCUAGGAAUUGAACAAUAUCAAUUUUAUUCAGAGUCACUUUAAGUUAUGUUUAUUGUAACUUAUAGCUAAGUAAAAUUCACUCACAAGCCCAUCAGACUCCACUACUGUAUUACUCAUUUUUACACUAAAAAAAUUUGAUUGUAAGUUAAAAUACAUGUAACUUAGAAAAAUCUUUUUAUUGUUUAGAAAAAAUUGAAGUAACCCUUUCAUUCAUUUGAGAUAAUAAUAAUAAAAAAAACAAAUACAAUAUAUUAGCUGGGAAUCCAUCCAGCCAUAUGACAUAUUUCGAGCUUCUAAAAGCUCUUUUAGUGAGAGAGUGAGCAAGAAUAUUACAAUGCUUUGGUACAUGUUGGACUAUUGCCGAUUGAAAAUUUUAUUUACUUCUUUGAAUCUAUGAUAUAGUCCACCAAAUUUCUGUUCUAUUGUUGGUUUUGUUGUUGGUUAAGUCAGCCAAUUCACUGCAAUUUGUUUCAAAAAUCACAUCUGUGAGGCUUGCCUCUUUUGCCACCUCUAUCCCCUAUUUGACAGCUUGAGUUUCUACAAGAGAAAUAUUCCCUUGAAAUUUUAUGUUUUCAUUGCUGCAACUAUCACUUGGCCUAGUGAGUUCCCUUAAACCUACAACUUGCUUAUCUUUAUGGACAACAACAUCAACAUUGACUUUUAAGCAAUUGAUAGGUAGUGGACUCUAUUCUCGCAGUUUUCUAUCUUCUUUGCUUUUUUUUUUUGCAAUUUUGUUCCUUCACCUUCACUUUUUGAUAAGCAUCCAUUGUUGGAUUUUUAAUUUAGCAUUGUUGGAUUUUUAAUCCAACAUCAGGCUUAUAUGUGAAUAAUUAUGUAUUGCAAACUGUUAUAUAAGUUUAAGCCUAGUUAAAAGUGAUCUAUUAAGGUGUUUGGUAUUAUGGCCUUUAAUGUAUCUAACGGGUGUGGGCCUUUAAUGUGUAGAGACCUAAUUGUAUUCUAAUUCUAUGAUGGACAGAAUUAGGAAUACCUAAUGACAACAGGAAAAGGUUGUCUAUAUAAGUGGUUAUGAUCCUUAAGUCACGUAUAUCAUUCUAUUCUCUACUGACAUACCAUCAUUAGAGAGACAGUGCAUAUGAUAUCAAAGGAUUCACUAGGAGAACGUGUUGAUCUAGAAGGCCAACCACACAAUCCUAAAGAGCAAUUUAGUGUUAUGGAUUCAUGUAUGUUUUUGCAUAAUUUGUUAUUGAUUUUUGUUGGUACAACAUGAAUGUUCAUGGGUUGUAGGUAAUGGUUUUUAUCAAUUUUUUUUUGGUUCUAACAUCCAUGACUGUUUUACCCUUAGUAGAUGAAAACAUGGGGUUUGGUUUCUUCCCUCAAAGACGAGUUUGUUCCUUGCAUGCCCCGUAAAUCACCAUAUAGCUGCUACAAAAUCAAGCUCAAUCUUGGCCAGCGUACCCACUAAUCUGUGCAUAACACUCAACAUAUCUUAUCUAGUAACUCCCUUAGUUUCAGCCUCCAAGUGAGUGCAUUUCCAGAUAGAAAAAUCCUUUUAUUUAUAAAUACAUAGAUUCGCAAAUAGUUCGUUGUUUUGGUGGUAUUUUCACAAUCAUAAAGACUUGAACUCGACGGUAAUUAUAACUUAUUUUGUCAUGGCCGUGGUCCUUUGUCGUCAAGCAACAAGGAGAAUAAAGGGUACAAAUAUAUAUACAAUACGAUACUCGUUCUCAAUAUUCCAUAUAUCAACUUUUAUUAAUUUUAAUAAAGGAAAGUUUUGCUUUAUUCCUUAAGGGUUUGGUAAUUCUUGUAUUUUAUAAGUUUCCUAAAAUGUUUUCUUGUGUAUCUAUUUUUAAUAUUUAAAAUAUACUUAAUUAUUUUCUACUUUUCACCUGUAGCAUAUUAAAUUUGUUCUUAAAAAAUUAGAUCAAACAGUGAUAGAAAGAACAAUCUUGAUAUUUUGAAAUGAAAAUAUAAGGACUAAUAGAAUAAUUGACCCAAACGCUAAGGAUUAUAGCAAAAUUUAUCUUUUAAUAAUUUUUAAGUGUACAAGCCGGUUUUCUUAUUAGUUUAUUUUAUGUGAAAAAAAUAUAGUGUGGAUCUGUUUGUGCACCUGGCUGAUUCUAAACAUACUAUAAAAGUCUGCGAGCUUAAUUCUUACUUAAAAGUAUGCUCAUAAAUUUAAAAUGGGCUUGAAUCUAUAUUUUUCACAAUUAAUUUUUUUACGAUUCUUAAAUGGGAAAUUAUCAUUGCACCACCUUUAUUUUACCUUAUGUUCAUCCAACCACUACAAAAUUUUAACAUGUACUUUGCACCACCUUUUUUUCACAUUUGUAUCAACUAGCCACUUUUGCAUUAACACUAUUAAAUAAUUUUAAUAAAAUAACAAAUUUACCCCCAAAUAAAUUAAAAGACUAUUUUAUCUUAUAAAAACUUUUAAAAUUAAAAAUUAUAAUCAUAAAAAAUAUGCGUAAUUUUUAAAAACCUCCCCUGAGGUUUGGGCUUGUUGCAAAUAGAUGGCGAGAAUUGAUUUAUUUGUAAAAAACCCCCUACCUUCAGUUAAGUUUAACAUUGACCGUUAGUUGACCAUGCAAAGACAAUAUUACCCUUAACAAUAGUUUGUAAACGAAAAUAACUAAAAAAAAACCAAAAUUAUUGGUGCAAAAAGCACAAACCCUAUUUUUUGACAAUUUUAUCCUUGUCAAUUCUAAAAAUUUACAAUAUCAUAGGUAAAGAUUAUGACUAUUUCAUUUUUAAAUUUUUAAUUUUAUCUUUCUUGUAGGAAUUUUAAGGAAAUAUCAAUAAUUUAAAGAGGAUUUUUUAAUUUUUUAAUUUUAACUUUUUUAUAGAAACUUUAAGAAAAUAUCAAUAAUUUAAAAAGUGUAAAAUAGCUAAUAAUUUUGAUUUUUUUUAGUUAUUUUCGUUUAUAAACUAUUGUUAAGGGUAAUAUUGUCUUUGCACGGUCAACUAACGGUCAAUGUUAAACUUAACUGACGGUAGGAGAUUUUUUACAAAUAAAUCAAUUCUCGCCAUCUACUUGCAACAAGCACAAACCUCAGGGGAGGUUUUUAAAAAUUACCCAAUAAAUCAAUUCUCGUCAUCUAUUUGCAACAAGCCCAAACCUCAGGGGAAGUUUUUAAAAAUUACCCUUUUAGUAAACUCUAAAGUGAAGUAACUAAUUAACGAUUAUUUUUAUAAUUAUAAUUUUAUAUUAAAAUAAUUUUUAUUAAAAAUAAAAAUUCUAAUUUUGGGAUUUAUUUUUAUUAAAUUUAGGGAUAUUUUUAUCAUUAUAUUUUAUUAUUUUUAAAUUUUUUAUAAAAUAAAAUGGUCUUUUAAUUUAUUUGGGAGUAAAAUUAUCAUUUUAUUAAAAUUAUUUAAUAGUGUUAAUGCAAAAGUGGUUAGUUGAUACAAAUGUGAAAAAAAAGGUAGUGUAAAAUACAUAUUAAAAUUUGGUAGUGAUUAGAUGAAUAUAAGGCAAAAUAAAAGUGGUGUAAUGAUAAUUUUGAUGUAAAAUUUUGUAUUAAUUGACUUAGCAAGAUUCCAUUUUAGUGAUAAUAAAAAAAUAAGAGUAACAGGAAACAUGAUGAGUUUAGAGUCACUGAAGGCCCAGUCGUCGCAGCUGGCUGCUGACUCAAAAAGCAGUUGAUAUUGAAGAAGUUACAAUUUGGCAUUGAAGUUCUCUUUACCAAAAACACCACCGCCCCGCAUGUGAUCUUUCUAUUUAUAAAGCCUCUAUGGCCUCGGCUCACAAUCACUCAUCGAAUCAAAAGCUUACCAACAAAUCAAGAAAGACAAUCAAGAUAUUGCAUUCAUUGUUCGCAGACAUUUGUCUGAACUCAGAACCGAAAAAAGAAUGGUGUUGAUGAUUGAUCAGUUCAUUGGCACUUUCUUUGCUACUUCUCUUAUUGGCUUGCUUCUUCUCAUAAUUUUGCGCCCUAACAAGAUGAAGAAGUUGCCCAAGAGCAGAAAGAAUUACAACAAGAUGGAAAAUGACGUCGUUUUGACAUCUGCAGAUAACGAACAUUCUCUGCCUGAGAAUGUUUCCGGCCCCGAUGUCAUCAUUGUUGGUGCUGGUGUUGCUGGUGCUGCCCUGGCCCAUACCCUUGGCAAGGUACGUACAUAAUUCCUUUUUUUUCUUUUUUUGGCUUUUUGGGUUUGUUUAAUUUCAAUUAACAUAAACUAAAUUGAUAUGCAGGAUGGAAGAAGAGUUCAUGUGAUCGAAAGAGACCUGAUGGAGCCUAAUAGAAUUGUUGGUGAAUUGCUACAGCCUGGAGGAUACCUGAAACUAGUUGAAUUAGGCCUUGAUGGUAUAUAUAAUAACAUAACUAAUUAAUUACUACAAAAUUCAUUAAUUAACAUUAUCGUACCUGUUUUAAUUAUCUGAAUGAAUGCAGAUUGUGUGGAAGAAAUCGAUGCCCAUCCUGUAGUGGGAUACGCUCUGUUCAAGGACGGAAAAAUUACAAAAACUCCAUAUCCACUGGGAAACUUUCAGGCUAAUGUUGCCGGCAGGAGUUUCCACAAUGGCCGGUUCAUUCAAAGAAUGAGAGAAAAAGCUGCUUCUCUUCCCAAGUACGUACAUAUAAUAUUUUUUACUAUUCUCAAGUACGAAUAUCUGCAUAGAUUAUAUCAACAAUCAAAUACAAUGCAUUGAUUGCUCCAGAUUUUCAACAAAAACAAAAAUAAUUGGCGUUUGACAAUUUAAUGAUCAAUUCAGCGUACGGAUGGAGGAAGGGACAGUGACAUCCCUGUUUGAAGAAAAUGGAAUUGUGAAAGGGGUUCACUACAAAACUAAGGACGGUCAAGAACACAAAUCUUACGCUCCUCUUACAAUUGUAUGUGACGGUGGCUUCUCCAAUCUGCGUCGGUCUCUUUGCAAUCCAAAGGUGAAAUUUUCCUUCGUAUUUUAUUUUAUUGGCUGCAAAUAAGUCUCCUUAAUUUGUUCAUCCUAAUAAAUAUCGAUAGUAUCGAACUUGACUUGUUUUAACAGGUUGAUAUACCAUCAUGUUUUGUCGGGAUGGCAUUGGAGAACUGUCAGCUUCCAGUCCCAAAUCACGGACACGUAGUUUUAACAGAUCCCUCACCCAUCUUAUUUUAUCCAAUUAGUAGCUCAGAAGUUAGAUGCUUGGUUGAUGUACCAGCUGGUCAGAAAUUACCUUCAAUUGCCAAUGGUGAAAUGGCCAAAUACUUGAAGACCAAAGUGGCACCGCAGGUACAUUUUUGGAAUUUGUAUCCAGUGUUGAGUUGAGCUGCAUGUGUUAAUCUUUCUUGAAUUUUCUGCCACACAUGCGUUUUUGGUUGGCUAUUUUAUUAAAUGUUAAAUUACACAAUAAAGGAAAAUCUUAUAGUGUUUGGAAGAAAAGAAAAUUUACAGAGGAAAAGAAUAUUCUUGAGCUGAAUUUUAUUAUUAUUAUUUCAUCGUAAUCAAAAGAGAAAAUACAAUCUGUUUUUCUACUAAGCUCGUGAGCUUAACUAACUGCAUAAAACUAAAACAGAAACAACAGAAUAAAAGAUGCAGAGCACAGUAGACAAGUGUAACUAAUUAAGCUGAGCUGUCAAUCAAUCUGGUACACUCUCAAUCACUCUGUUGAUUUGGCUUCCUUAAUCAUUCUUUGCUUUGACUGAUCCUUGACUAAGAAGCUGAGAUGUGCUUCCUUAAUAGCCCCCCUCAAACUCAACGGGCAAGGUUGAACAUUGAGUUUGCUUCUGAAAAAAUUGAAGUGAUUGAAGGUUAAGGGUUUUGUUAAGACAUCUGCAAUUUGUUGUUCACUGGGUAUAUAAUUGAUUUGUAAUUCCUUGGCAACAACUUUAUCUCUGAUGAAGUGCAUGUCUAGUUCAAUGUGUUUGGUUCUUGAGUGAUAAAUUGGAUUCUUUGCAAGCUCAGUGGCACUCUUGUUAUCACACCAUAUCACUGGAGUUAAAGUGCACUGCAGAUUCAUUUCACUGAAUAAUGAUUGAAGCCAAGUAAUCUCUGCACAAGCUGAAGCAAGAGCUCUAUAUUCACUUUCAGCACUAGAUCUAGUCACAACUGAUUACUUCUUAGAAGACCACGAGAUUAGAUUGUUUCCCAAGUAAAUACAAUAUGCACCAACAGAUUUCCUGUCAUCAAUGUCACAAGCCCAAUCUGCAUAUGUGUAUCCAGUUAGUGUCAGCUCUCCUUCAACUCCAAAUUUCAGUCCAUAAUCCUGAGUUUCCUUUAAGUAUCUUAAUACUCUCUUACAUGCCAUUAAAUGUUGUAAAGUUGGCAUAGCAAUAUAUUGACUAAGCUUAUGUACUGCAAAGGCUAUCUCAGGCCUUGUAAGAAUCACAUACUGUAAACCACCAACCAAACUUCUAUAUGCUGAAGGAUCAUCAAUAAAUUGUCCAAGUGAAUCAUCAACUUGUUUCUGAAGUUUUGUUCCAGUAGUCAUUGGUGUGUCACAGCCUUUACAGUUCAGCUGCUCUGCUUUUGCCAAUAAGUCUCUGAUAUAUUUUCUUUGAGACAAGAAAAUACUUCCAUUGUAGUAAGAAACUUCAAUUCCCAGGAAAUAAGACAAAAUCCCUAGAUCCUUUAAGGCAAAAACUAAACUAAAAUGAGAAAUAAAAUCUUCAAGAGCUUUGCUGUUAUGACCUGUAAUUAAUAUAUCAUCCACAUAGAUUAGUACCAUAAUCAUAGAUCCUUUUUCCUUCUUUAGAAACAGUGAUGUAUCUGCUCUUGAAUUCUGAAAUCCCCAUUUAAUCAAGGUUUCCUUGAGCUUAUCAAACCAUGCUCUAAGAGCCUGCUUCAGCCCAUAAAGUGCCUUAUUCAAUUUGCAAAUAUGAUCAGGUUUGUGAACAUUGAUAAAACCCUCAGGUUGCUUCAUAAACACAUCUUCAACUAGAUCACCAUUCAAGAAUGCAUUAUUAAUAUCUACUUGCCUUAUUUUCCAGUUGUUCAUUGCAGCCAAGCUUAACACCACUCGAACUGUAGCUGGUUUAACUACUGGACUAAAAGUCUCAAAAUAAUCAACUCAUGCUACUUGUUGAAAUCCCUUUGCAACAAGUCUUGCUUUAUGCUUGGCAACACUCCCAUCAGUAUUAUGCUUGACUCUAAAUACCCAUUUAUUGUCAACAACUUUCUGUUCAAAUGUUUUAGGUACUAGAAUCCAAGUAUUGUUCCUCAUUAAUGCAUCAUACUCAUCUUUCAUUGCCUGAUACCAUCUUUGAUCUCCUAAUGCUUCUUCUACUGUAUCUGGUUCUCUACUUGACAAAGCAGCACAAUACACCUUUGGUUUGAAUAUACAUGAUUUAGCUCUAGUGAUCAUUUUGUGUGUAGGCUGAUGAAUAGGUUGCUGGUUCUGUGAAUAUGUGUUGGUUAAUAUGUCAUGUGGCAAAAUUGGAUUUUGAGGUGCUGGUUGAGAAGUUUGAGCUGAUACAGGUGAAGUGUUUAUAAUUGGUGUUUGUGUGUAGUCUUGAGAAUCAAGUAAAUCAAGUGGUUGAUUGUGUUGAGCAGUGAUUGUAUGCUCAGAACCUGAUGAAGAUUGAGUUCUGUUACUGCUGGUUCCUGCUAAGAAAGGUUCUUCAGAGCUGCUAUCAGGAAUAUAUGGCAAAGUAGACAAUUGAAAUACUAGUUGUUGGCUUAGUGUUUUGACAGACUCAGUAUCACAAGAUGAGGUAUUGGUUUUAUCAUCAAGAAUGACUGAAGGAAAACAUGUUUCAUCAAAUGUAACAUGUCUGGCAAUAUAUACUCGACCUGAAGGAUGAAGGCAUUUAUAACCUUUGUGUGAUGGACUAUACCCAAUGAAUAUACACUUGCUGGAAUGAAAAUCAAACUUAUGUUUAUUAUAGUCUCUCAAGAAUGGAUAACAUAAACAGCCAAAACACUUAAGAAAACUAUAAUCUACUUUGUGUUUAAACAACUUCUCAUAUGGUGUUUGAUUCUUGAGCACUGGAGUGGGUAACCUAUUGAUGUGAAACACUGCAGUAUGAAAGGCAUCCCACCAAUAUUGAAGACAUAACUUUGCUUGAGCUAACAAAGUCAAACCAAGUUCAACUAUAUGUCUAUGUUUUCUUUCCACUGAUCCAUUUUGAUGAUGUGUAUAAGGGCAUGAAUGUCUAAAAAAUGAUGUGUAUAAGGACAUGAGUGUCUAAAAAUAAUACCAUUUUGAUUUAGAAAAUCUGUAAGCACUCUAUAUUCUCCCCCCCAAUCAGAUUGCAACAUCUUGAUAGAUGUGCUAAACUGAUUUUCAACCUGAAGUUUGAAUAGCUUAAAGACUUCUAAAGCUUCUGAUUUAAGCUUAAGGGGAUAAAUCCAUGUAUAUCUGCUAUAAUCAUCAACAAAGCUAAUGUAGUACUUAUAUCCAUUCCUAGACAGAAUUGGUGAAGGCCCCCAAAGAUCUGUGUAUAAGUUCCAGAACAUGAGUAGUUUUGGUAUCUGUAGUUGCAAAGUGUAAUCUGUGGGAUUUUCCCAAUUGACAGGCUUUACACACAUUAUGACUGGAAUUUUUAAGUGUCUUGAGAGAGACUUUAGCACAAUUAUAAAACCUCAGCAAGUGUAUAAGAACAUUCAAAUUUGGAUGACCAAACUUUCUAUGCAACAAAGUUAAUUGAUCAACUAUUUGAGUACAAUUGGAUGAAACAGAAUUGAAACAGGUCUUAGCAAAAGAAUCACAAUUAUGUGAGGUCUGAUUGUUUCUGUCAACAAAAGACAACAUAGACAGAGGCUUAUUUGAAUGAACAACUGACAUAUAUGACUCAUGAGUUUGAGUAUUAGGUGAACUGAGUUUAAGUUGCAACUUGUACAGCCCUUUCUCAGCAAGCCCCUGCAGCAGAACUUGUCCCUUCAUUUUGUCCUUCACAAAACAAACAUUACCACAAAAUUCAACAGAGAUGUUAUUAUCUAAGGUUAGUUUGGAUAUGCUUAAAAGAUUUUUGGUUAUAGAGGGUACAAGCAGCAUAUCUUUUAACAAAAUGCAAGUAGUUGUAUGACCAGAUCGAAGAGAAGCAUUACCAACAUGAGUGAUAGUUAGGCCUUGACCAUUUCCUAUGAUGAGUUGAUCAUUACCUUUGAAUUCCUCUUUGAUGUGCAUAUUUGCCAUGUUGUUUGUGAGAUGAUGUGUAGCUCCACUAUUCAAAUACCAGCCUUCAUCAGCAGGCCCUUCAAAAUUGGCCAUGUAUGCAACUCCAGGGGAAUAUGAAGCAUGAGAACUAGGUAUGUAUACAGGAGACAAACCAGCAGAAUAUUCAUCAAAUUAGGCAUAUAACAUGGCAUGUAAUUAGCUGGUUCAAAAUUAGUCAUAUAAGCAGACUUUGGAAUUUUUCCUUUAUUAUUGGCUCUAGAUGAAGCUGGAACAAAAUCUUCAUUAAAUCUAUACUAGUAGACAUCAACACUGUGUCCAGACUUAGAGCAAAUCUGACAUAUUACCACUUCAUCAGAAAUACUAGCAGUAUUUGGAUGUGAGUUUCUAGAAAAAUUGGAUGACAUGGUAGGAGACAUGCCAUUGAAGAUUGGUUUUCCUUUCAUUUAAUACAUGUUUUGGCCUCUGCCAUAUCCACCAAAACCAGAGUAUCCUCCAUUGAAACUAUUAAAUCCAGAAAAAUUUCUUGAAGGAAAACCUCUACCAGUAACUGGUCCUCUUCCACUAUGAUAAUUGCCUUGAAAACCUCCUGUAUAACCACCUCUUUUAUAGUUUCCCCUUGUUUGUGCAAAAUUAGCAUUGAACAUGCCUUGUGCAAAAUUAGCAUUGAAAACAAUUUUAGCAUCUUGCUCUUGUUGCUCAAUUCUAGAUUCAUGAGUGAGCAACAAUGCAUAUGCAUCAUCAAAAUCCAUUUUACAAACAGUGAUAAACGAAGCUAUAUCUAGGAAGCCUGAUCCAAGACCAUUAAGGAUGUGCAUCAACAAUUCUCUAUCAUUCAAAGGACUCCCAGCACAAGCAAGCUUAUCAGCUAAGGCUUUCAUUUUCAUGCAAUAGUCUUCAACAUUCAUUGAUUCUUUCUUUAAAGUGUUUAUUUCAUACUUGAUUUGAAGUACCUUAGCUUCAUAUUGUACUCCAAAUUUCUUCUCAAGUGUUUUCCAUACAGUAUAUGAACUAUCAAGAUUAAUAACAAGACCAAGUGUACCUUCACUUAUUGAAGAUAAGAGCCAGCCAAGAAGUGUUUGAUCUUGUGAUUUCCAGGUGAUAAACUCUGGAUUCUCAAUCAGCAGAUCCCUCAGCUGUUCUGCGAGUAAUGCACUGCUCUGGUUCAAAUUUUGUUCCAUUAAUAAAACCUUCAAGUCUGUUGCCUCUUAUGGAAGCUAAUACUUGAGAUCACCAAAUUAAGUAAUUGAUUCGAUCUAACUUCACAUGAGUGAUGAAUGAAAAAUUUGUUGAGCUUAUUGAAUUAGUGUUUGUGUUUACAAUUGGAUUGCUGGAGCUAGCCAUAUUGAUCUGGCUCUGAUACCAUAAAGGAAAAUCGUAUUGUGUUUGGAAGAAAAAUAAAGGAAAAUCUUAUAGUGUUUGGAAGAAAAGAAAAUUUACAGAGGAAAAGAAUAUUCUUGAGCUGAAUUUUAUUAUUAUUAUUUCAUCGUAAUCAAAAGAGAAGAUACAAUCUGUUUUUAUACUAAGCUCGUGAGCUUAACUAACUGCAUAAAACUAAAACAGAAACAACAGAAUAAAAGAUGCAGAGCACAAUAGACAAGUGUAACUAAUUAAGCUGAGCUGUCAAUCAAUCUGGUACACUCUCAAUCACUCUGCUGAUUUGGCUUCUUUAAUCAUUCUUUGCUUUGACUGAUCCUUGACUAAGAAGCUGAGAUGUGCUUCCUUAAUACACAGUUAACGAAAAGUAUUAGAAAUCCCUUGUGAAGCUAAUCAUAGUUACAUGAUGAGCACUGUUGUUCGUUUCAGAUUCCUGAUGAGCUUCGCGAUGCAUUCAUUUCAAAAGUUGAGAAAGGCAGCAUUAGAACAGCGACAAACAGAAGCAUGCCGGCGGCUCCCAAAACUACCCCCGGAGCCCUUUUGUUGGGUGAUGCUUUCAACAUGCGCCAUCCUUUAACUGGUGGGGGAAUGACUGUGGCUCUCUCUGACGUCGUCGUACUUAGAAAUCUUAUAAAGCCUCUUCAGGAUUUUCACGAUGCUGCUUCUCUUAACCAAUAUCUCGAAUCCUUUUACACCUUACGCAAGGUAACUGUCAAUAUAAGGGUGUGCAUGGUUGAUUGAUAUUAUUUUAACAUGCAUGCAGCCCGUGGCGUCUACAAUAAACACUCUAGCAAAUUCUGCUUAUCAAGUGUUUUCAGCGUCAUCUGAUGAGGCAAGAGAGGUAAUGCGGCAGGCAAGUGUUGAUUAUUUAGGGCUUGGAGGAAUUUACACAUCGGGAGCAAUGGCUCUACUCUCAGGCCUAAACCCUAGCCCAUCAAGCUUAAUUUUCCAUUUCUUAGCAAUGGCAAUAUUUGGUGUUGGUCGUUUGUUAUUACCAUUUCCUUCGCCUAAACGCCUGUGGAUUGGUGCUAAGCUAAUUUGGGUAAGCAUUUUCCUUAGUCAAAAUUCUCAUCAGAUGGGGACGUUUGCAUUUUACAAAAUACUAAUUGACAAAAAUUAAAUGAUAUUUUAUUACCACAAUUCAUAUUUAAGAGAAGAAGCGACUUUUUAUCUGGCUACUACUUUACAACUGAUUAUUUAAAUAUCGUCUGGAAUAUUUUUUAUUCAUAAGAAGAAAAAAAAUCAUAUUUAUGCUGCAGGGUGCAUCAGAAAUUCUUUUUCCUAUCAUCAAAGCGGAGGGAGUGAGGCAAAUGUUUUUCCCUGCAACUGUUCCAGCAUUAUAUGGAAGAGCUCCUCCUGUUUAUAACUGAUUGAUGCAUCAAAUUGAAUUAAAGCAUAAAAUUAAUUGUAGCUUGGGCUUUCUUGCCAUCAAUACAUGUCCAUGUAGCGAUUUAGGGUCUGUUGAGAUUUUUAGGAGAGGUGAAACCAGCUCCUUAUUUCUCUUAAGCGUAAUUAAUUCUUUGUAAUUAAAAUUACCUUUAUUCUUUUAAUGAUUAAAUUCGUUAUUAUUUUGUGGCAAUUAGUUUAAAGUUAUUGCUUGCUAUUUUAUUCAAGGUUUAAUCACUUAUGUCAGCGAAGAUUAAUGCCCAUCUUCUUCUUAUUUAUAAAUAAAAUAUGCCGUAAUGUUUGUGUGAGAAAGAGCUUAACAUACACCCAAAUAAUUACAUUGCAUAUAUAAUUGUUUUGAUUACCCAAUAAAGCACUUUAUGAUAGAGCAAGUCAGUGGAACACUAGCUAAUUGCGUAUUACAUUAAUUUAACUAUUCAGGCUUUUAUUUUUCAUUUAUUAAUUGACCAUGUAUAAGAUCAUUAUCGCAUUGAUUUUGGUGCAUUCAACAAUUCUUGGAAGGUAGCAAAACGAGAUUGAGAUAUUCACCAAGAGCCCAUACGGGAAAGAUGUUUCUGUAAGCAGAAUAACUUAUCGUACAAUUCUUGUUGAAUACUCCCAUGAUUUCCUAUAAAAGAAAAAAUAGAUAUAAAGGUAAUUAUUAAAAAAAAUUAUUAUAGUAGUUUUAUCUUUCAAGUCUUACAAUUAUUAUAUUCAAGACGAUUAUCUAUCUCUCUCUCUUCUUUUUUUUUUUUUAACUUAAUUAUGUCUCUCUUUAUAGUAUGCAGAUUUACCUGUUGCGGGAAAUCUCCAUUUUCCAUUUGUGAAUUAAUGAGCACCUUUGCAGCGCGGUGUAAUGGGAUUGGAUCUCUAUGAGCCUAACCCAUUUAUGUAAAUUAAAAAAAAAAAUUGUCAUUAUUGUUAAGAUUUGAUUAAUUAUAAUUCGAAACUAGUUAAAGAAUAUAUUUACUAAUUUACAUACCUGGCCAGCUUCAAUGAGAGAGAGCAUUGCCCACGCAGUGUUUACGAGAUGUGAUUUAUUUCCUUCCAGAUUUGUGUAUACCUUAUCAAAGAUUUCACAAGAGCAGUUUAAAAAAAAAAAAAAAAAAAGGUACAAUCAAUAUAAUGGUUUUUUCUCCCUCUAUGCAAUCAACAAUUUCUUUUCCAAAAUUUCCUGGGAAAAUAACAAACUUGGAUAUCCUUAAUAAACUUAAAAUUGAGUUAAUUACCUUGUUUUGGCAAGAAAGAUCGCUCUCUCCCCACCCACCAGAAUCAAGCUGUUUGGAUAGCAAGAAAUUACAUGCUUUUUUUAUGUUAUUGCUAUUUUCAUAUGUUUUACCGCAAGUCACCAGGCCCUUUACUCCAAACCACGUUCCAUAUGUGAAGCACACUCCCCACGACCCAUACCUAAAUUCAUAAAUAAUCACUUCAAAUUAUCAUAACAUUUCUUAACAUAUUAAAAAUCAAGAUGCCUAAAUAUUUAAUUAGAGAGUGAUAUACAGGAAACUUUUAUUUAAAUUAACAUGACAUUUAUAUACAAGUUAAACAUACCAUGAACCAUCAGGUUGUUGUUUGCUUUCAAUAAACUCGAUGGCCUUUUCAAUACAGGCUUCUAUUUCUUUUCUCCUGUGUCCUGGAUAGAUUUUCAUGAAUGAUUUUAGACCUUGGAUUGCUGCUGAAGUGCAUUCCACAUACCUAAAUUAAACACGAAAUAUGAGCGACCAUAACUCCUGUAAUAAAUUAGACACCUAAUUUAAUUUUAACUACUCUUAAAUUUAGUUUGUCAUAACUUGCACAUAUUGAUUAUCUGCAUUUUGAUGUAGCUUAGAAAAUUCGUAGUUUAUACUUUUUAUUGCUAAUUAAUCAAUGGAAUAAUUAAUUAAUUUGGUUAUCUUACUGAUAAUCUAUAAUGAUAUCUCCGAAAGUUUCAGCUGGAUUGAUCAUCUGAAAUUUAAUACAAAUAAAAUCUUGUCAAAACUUAAUCAAUGCCUCACUCCUCAGUUAAUAGACCCAAUUAAUUGAAAGGAAAAUAUUUUUCUCACCUCUAACCAUGCAUAAGAUCUUGUUAGCUCAUAAGAUGCAAAGCCUCCAGUGCUGUUCUGCAAUUAAGAAGACAUGCAUUUGUACAAACCUGACAUGUUUUCUUUCGAAAGACAAUUAAAUAGUUGAUAAUCAAUUUUAAGACCGUUGUCUAUGAAGUACCUGUAAGGAUAAGAUAACAUUAACAGCAUCAUAUAACUGAUUUUCUUGUAUUGCUUCUCCCACUAUGUCAGCUGGCAAUUGUGAUAAUAAUAUUGCUGCCUGUAUGAUCAUGAAUCGAACCAACCUUUCCAUCGUAAGAAGUUUUAUCGGUUUAAUUAAUAAGUACCCACAUGCCAACAUAGCAUCUAGCCUCAGGAAACAGAGACUUGGGAAAAAGAAAUGUACCUUUAAUCCUUCAGCAGUACAAUCUAAAACAGGCCAACCAUUGUCAGCAGUGGAGAAAGGCCAUCCUCCUUUAGAAAUAUGGCGGUACCAAUAAUUAAGAUCACCACUGCAAUCUUCCCGAACCUUAAUUGACAAAUUUAAUCAUGAGUUAUGAACAAGAAAAUCCGCUAACAUUUUGUUUUAAUUUAGGAUUUAAGAUAGGUUUGAUCUUUUAAGUGAAAUUAAUAGAUACUUGAGUGUUUUUUAGGAAACUGAAGGCUUUCUUAAGUGUUGAACCACAUUCGUCAACAAGAUCAGUGGCCAAGAUUGCUUGGACUGCAAAUGUUACAUCCCACAGUUGUGACCCGUUGUAUCCCUGUCAUUGAGGAUUUUAUAAUUAAUAUCAAAAUCCCAAAUUGAUUAAAUUUUUCCUAAAUAAAACUGUUUAACUAAUUGCAACCUGCAUCUUCAUUCCAUCUUCAGCAAGCCAGAGAUAGUCUUUAAUUCUUGAGAGGUGACGUUUAUAGGCCUCAGAAUUUGGGUCCUCCACCCAACAGCAAAUCAUGUUUAGUACCUAUGUAUGCACAAAGGUUGGACUAUUUAUCAAUUCAAAUGUAGUGGGCUGAUAUUAUGUGCGGACACAUGUUACUAUUUCAUUGGUGGGGUUGUGGGCCCACAACAUAAUCCUAUUAAUAAAAAAUUGACACGCGUCCUAUUACGUACUAUAACGUGUGUGAUAAUACCCAUCCGAUCAAGAUUCUUUAAAUGUAAUUAAUUGAUCUUACAUUAUUAAUUAAUAUUCCUAAAAUAGCUUCCAAUGUAUCAAAAACCAUUCUAAAACUUUGUAAAUACAAUUAUUUUUCCAAAAAAGCUUACAAUGGAUUUGAUUUGACCAAUGGCAGAAUAAGAAUUUUGGUUCAAUGGGAGGUAUAAUAGAGAAAAACAAACUUUUUAGGCUAAAAGAUAAAAACUGUAAAUAUGAAGGGAUUAGUCAUAAAAUUUACAUUAAGUGGGUUAAAUUUCGUCCAGAAAAUUACCUUAUUGACGGGGCCAAUGCAAAUAUACUGAGUAUUCUCAUCUUCAUAAUGGAUGUGUUGCAUUACAGUUUUAAGAGCAUUGUGUCUCAGCUUAGAGAAAGGCCAUUUCUUUACAAGAGGUUCCCCAAUCUUGUGAAGACACCCCCAUAAUAUGUCUUGGAUCAUGGGGUGGGGAUAGUAAAGGUCCUCCUGCAAAACGUUAAUUUUUCUCCUAUUAUAUUAGUAAUAAUACAAAUAAAGCUAAAUAUACCAAUUGCCAUACAAAGUUUUAUUUGCUUACAAAUUGGUAUGGUAUUUUUCUUUAAACAAUUUUAAUACAAAUGCUCUCUUUACAAGCAGGUCCAAAAUUAAAAUCUUGUCAUAUUAGAACAAGGGAACCACUCUAGUUUUCUUUAAUUAAUAUUUCAAAAAUAAUUUCUGCAACCUCUAUCGUCCUUCCGUCUACUUUUGAAGAAAGUGACCUUCCAUCCACUUUUGAUUUUGAUAGGAAAUUAAAUAUUAUACAUUAUGCGAAAAUAUUGAUCAUUUGAUUGUCUUUUAUUAUAGAUCUCAAUUAUUGAUUCAAUCUAAAUCAUUCGGGAGUUAAAUAUUUUUAAUUUCUUCACAAUUACAUCGUACUACUUCUCAAAAAAAGAAAAAAAUUACAUCACACUACCUUCCCUACUUUAUAAUCAAUUUUGUUUAUAUUAUGUUUUCAAAAAAUGAAAAAGAUUAUCUCACUCAUUAUUUUAUAUCUUAUUCUCAUGUCACCCGUACAAAAAUUUAUAAUUUAAUCUCUUACAAGUGACAAUGCCAACAUUAUUUAAAGCCCCAAUUGUCGAAUCUUACCACUCAUUAUUAUUAAUUUGAGCAAUUAACCACGCAUUGACACUAGAAUAAAAUUAUUUUUCUAUUAAGUUAUCAAGGAAAAUGAGUGGAACCCCUUAAAUAAAUAUCUUUAAUUAUUUAAUUAAUUGAAUAAUUUAUAAUUUAUAAUUAACUGAAAAACUUUGGGUAAAAAUAAAGGAAUUUCAUUAUAUAUAUAUUCGGUUCCCUUAAAUUAUUAAAGUAAAGAAUAAAUUAAAAGACAGAAGAGACACACAAUUCGAUACACGCACGAUCGGAUAAAACACCUUAUAUUGGAGCGUGUAUUUUGUCUUUUACUUUAUCUCUUACUUUAGUAAUUUAAGAAAUCCAUAAUUGGAUAAUGACUAUAUAUAAAUUAAACUUUUAUAUUUAAUUUUCAAUUGUUUUGUAAAAAUUCAUAACUAAUUAAAAUUUUAUGACAAUUUUGCUUACUUGUUCCAUAAUUUUUCAUUUACUUUUGCAAUUAGUUAUGAAAAAAAUAAUUAGUCAAUUAAUUAAAGAAUUAUAUAUAUUCAUAUAACCCCAACGUCAAACAACCACAAAGGAUAAAAUGAUAAGAUUAACAAAAAAAAAUUGACACCUAAAAACAUUUAAACAUAUUUUAAAUUAUCAAAGGGUUUCGAUUAGUCUUAUUAAACAAUAUGGGUUCGCUCUUUUUCUCAAAUUAUCACAUAAAAGAGAAAUGAGGAAAAAAAUUGACAUUUAAUAUUGUAAUUGUAAUAUUUAUUAUUAGUAGAGUAUUAAGUUAAUUCGGCUUGUCUUUUCUCUUGUGGCACAUAAAGUUAUGAAGUUUUUAAAUUUAAAUAGAAUGGAAUAAAGAUUAUUUUAAUUUUAUUGUACCUUGGCACAAAAAUUUCGGGCAUGGUCCCAAUCGAUGGAGUGAUAAGGAAGCGUGUAGAGCUCCUUUCUAAGAGAUAAAAUAAGAGAAUUGAAUGGACCGACAAAUCUGGUUCCAUACAAAUACGACAUUGGCAAAUACAUCAUCCGACAAUGACACCACAUACGUCCUGCAUACGUGCAUUAAUUUCAUCAAUUUAUACGAUCCAUUUACUUGUAUCAUUCAAAACUAUAACUAAUUAAUUUACUAUUCCAAAAUGUACUAACACGACAAUAUGGGAAAUUUUCUCCGACGUACAUGUAUUUAUUCUAUAAAAUCCAAAAUUAAUUUAUGAUUAUUGAUAUAUAGUUAACCCAGUAUUUUUAUGGCCAUAGUAAUUAAAGUUUGGAAAUUUUAAAGUGUGGGAAAGUUUUGGAAAAUGUAUAAACCGUGCGGUUUAAAUUCUUUAAGUUUUAAGUUUUUAAAAUCCCACAGUUUUAAAAUUUUCUUGAAUUUUUUCCGCACUUUAAGAUCCCAGACCAAAAAACAUAAACAUCCGAUAUUAAUUAACUACAUGGUAUAAUGAGUUCCUUUUCACUUAAAAUAUCAAUUUAAGGUUUUGAAUUUACACAUAAAAAAGCUGAAUUAUAGAUAAUAUAAACAAACACACAAACAAAAUUAGUUUUUACCUGGAUGAAAAGGAAGAAAAUAAGGGAGAAGCCAUAUUUCCGGGGGUAGUGGAUUGUUCCCACUCCACUCGUAUACUCCAAGCACCUAUUUUUAUUUUGCCGAAAAAUAUCGGUAGCAAAAAUCUAAAUAAUGAUUUGUGAAGAUAAAAUAACAAAACAGUAAUAUAAAAUGUGAACUAAUUGUAUACGGUUUGCUCGCAAUUCAGUGCUAAAUUGUUGUGUAUUUUAGCCUUGAAAUGCCAACAUUCGUGAACAAAUUUGCACGAAGACGUUCAGACCGGAGAAUGAUUACAAGGAUGUAAUGAAUGGUUCAUACCGAAAGCCACAUCUUUCCCCAAGAUGGAAUGGAGGUCACCCCACCGCGAUCAAGGAUCCAUUUUCGGGCUUUUUCCAUGGCACCAUCAUCCCCAC